GCAGUUCGGCGUGUGUUUUGUCCAAGUGCGGUUGCCAUAGCCCAGCCGUCUGUCGAUUGCUGUUGGAAUUUGGAGUCCUGUAUGAUGCCUUUAAAUCCUGACACAACAUCCUAAAUGGGAUAUGUGAUAGAGAGCAGGUGUGUCCAUGUGGUGCACUGCUGCCAUCAUCAUCCGACACACCUGAUGCACUGCUGCCAUCAUCAUCCGACACACCUGAUGCACUGCUGCCAUCAUCAUCCGACACACCUGAUGCACUGCUGCCAUCAUCAUCAUCACGCGAGCGCCGAAGAGGGACGCAGGGCCACGCGGCGCAGUUGUUACACUAUUUAUUAAAAGGCAAAAAUAAAUGGAUUUCAAUAAUAGUAAUAAUUUCCUCUCACAAUUGAUAUUGCCACCACCAGGCAGACGUUUCACUUUUUAAUUAACAGAUAUUGAACAUAUCAUAUUUUACACCCAACACAUGAAAAUAGGAAUUUCAGACAUUUUAAGGUAAACAAAGUAUUAGGUCAGAUGUGGAACUAUUGUUACCCAUAGCUUAUAUUACAUUUCACACAAAGUCCAUCCUCUACAUAACAUCAGGUGACAAGUGAUGUCAGCACCACCAAUUUGUCAAUAGGGCACUGUAUCAAGGAACUAAGGUACACUAAAUAAUGUUAUCAUGUGACCAAGGGUCCUCUCCAAAAAACCCUACCACUGCAGAUCACUGGGGUCCAGCUCACGCCCAUCAAGGACACAUGGAAAUAUGCCUGAACAAGGCGUUAUUCAGGAGCCCACACAUCCAAGCCAUGUGCACUCCAUCUGCUUAAUGGCAGACAGGCAGUCAGACUGUAUCAAAGCAUGAGAUCGCAUAACCAACAGGUUCAGAGGCUUUUCAACACUUGACCACGAACACACACACACACACACACACACACAGGGAGAGACACCCAAGGCCCACACACUUCAUAACCACUCAGACGCAUUUACAUUUCUGUAUUAGAAUGAUAUUAUAACUACUACAAUGAACACCUCCCACUUCAUAACAAUUUUAAAUACUGUAAAUACUCAGCGCUUCACAACAUUUUCACCUUUAUCUUUCUAUAAAAUAUUAUCUUCUUUAGUAAUGUGUCCACAAUGAAAGCUGGAAUGAAAUAUUAAAGGUGCUUCAAAUUAUGCUACAUGAUCAUCUACCACUUUCCAACUGAGAAGUUCUACCUUGGCAAUAAAUAAUUGGUUUAGAGGACUCAAGUAGAGUGACAUCUGAUUCUAGCCUGUUACAACAAAAAAGAUCAAUGCGUCCCCCUCCCCAAACGACCUGUUGCAUCCCUGAACCUCAUUUUUAGUGAUUAGUGGCAUUGUGAUGUCUGAGACACGAUGAGAUCACGUCUACACAAGGUGAGAUCACUUGUGGUUCUGAGGAGCUGUGGCAUUUCAACAGUGAUCAUACUGCUGUGCAUCUUUAAAAGCUAAGUGGUUGGUGGAUGAAUAUUAAUGUAGGCACUAGGGGUGGAGCCGAACCCGAAUACGGUAUUCGGAAAGGCACAAAUAACGGUAUUCGAAUACGGUAUUCGGAA